UCUGGUGACAAUAGCAUUGUGGUCCCACCUGAUCCCAUCCCGAACUCAGAAGUGAAACGCAAUCGCGCCGAUGGUAGUGUGGGGUCU
rnacentral:rRNA from 1 species